CAAAAGGCUUUUCUAAUAGCCCCACAACAGAAAUAAUAAAUAAUUGU
rfam:Opisthorchis viverrini opera_v5_141.41, whole genome shotgun sequence.